AGUGAACGCUGGCGGUAGGCCUAACACAUGCAAGUCGAACGGCAGCACAGUAAGAGCUUGCUCUUACGGGUGGCGAGUGGCGGACGGGUGAGGAAUACAUCGGAAUCUACUUUUUCGUGGGGGAUAACGUAGGGAAACUUACGCUAAUACAGCAUACGACCUACGGGUGAAAGCAGGGGAUCUUCGCACCUUGCGCGAUUGAAUGAGCCGAUGUCGGAUUAGCUAGUUGGCGGGGUAAAGGCCCACCAAGGCGACGAUCCGUAGCUGGUCUGAGAGGAUGAUCGGCCACACUGGAACUGAGACACGGUCCAGACUCCUACGGGAGGCAGCAGUGGGGAAUAUUGGACAAUGGGCGCAAGCCUGAUCCAGCCAUACCGCGUGGGUGAAGAAGGCCUUCGGGUUGUAAAGCCCUUUUGUUGGGAAAGAAAAGCAGCAGGUUAAUACCCCGCUGUUCUGACGGUACCCAAAGAAUAAGCACCGGCUAACUUCGUG
rnacentral:rRNA from 1 species